rnacentral:rRNA from 1 species
GACGAACCGAGCGAACGUUGUUCGGAAUCACUGGGCUUAAAGGGCGCGUAGGCGGGCUGCCGCGUCCGGGGUGAAAUCCCACGGCUCAACCGUGGAACGGCCUCGGAUACGGGCGGCCUCGAGGGGGGUAGGGGCAUCUGGAACUGUGAGUGGAGCGGUGAAAUGCGUUGAUAUUCACGGGAACUCCGGUGGCGAAGGCGAGGUGCUGGACCCCAUCUGACGCUGAGGCGCGAAAGCCAGGGGAGCAAACGGG